AGCUGGCUUGAUCUCGCCUUCUUUUGGCUCUGCCUGCCUUGUGGCUGUCGUGGCGUUCUUCUUUGGCAAAGGGUUGAAGAUCUGAGAAAUAGGCGUAAGGAUAUUAUUGAUUUUUGAGAUUUACUACUCAUUUAGAGUUUAUUGUCGGGUUUAGUAAGUAGUGUUGGAUCUAGGCCGUUGGGAGUUGGUAUAUUUAUAUAAAUAUAUAAGGUUUAA
rnacentral:misc_RNA from 1 species